rnacentral:lncRNA from 1 species
GGUGUUUUGAAAUCCUGAUUAAGACAAUCCCCAACCUCCUAUACUCACUAAGUGCUCCUGCAUCUUUUCCGCGGUGUUGGGAAGGGGGCAGCUGGGAGGAGCAGGCUAAUUGGGGCAGCUGAGAGUGAAGAGGCCCCUGGAGCUGGUCCAUCUCCCCUUCAGGCAGACCCAGUUCAGAGCUGUUCGCAGUUGUUCCGCACAGAGGAAGCAGGAGGCCGGAAGCCUCUGGGCGGCGGCGAAGCUGGGAAAGCUUUAAGCUGGGAAUCUGCGUCUCUCCAGCCACCAGCUUUGGAGGGGACAGCAGCGGCUCCCACUGGCUUCAGCUCUGCAUUCUGGUUGGUUGUCUCUGCCCAUCGGCAGCCAGCUCCAGGCCUGGUCCCACCCCAUCUGCCGCACUAUCACCCGGGAUUGGCUGAACUCGGCAAGGCUAGGCUGCCUUGCCUCUCGCCAUCAGAUUCUUCAUUAAACAAAUGAAUCACAAUCCUAAUUAAUUUGAGCAACAGAAUUUAUGUAACUACUCCCAGCAGGAUGUCUGCUCUCAGUCGGUAGCGAGAUGAAUUCCUCUCUCUGGGAAAUUUCAGCCGCGCUGGUCAAUAAAACCUUAAUGAUGACAGAAA